CCUGCGCAGACCACCGAAGAGGCAGCAUGUAACUUGCCCAGCUGAGAAAGCUUAUAAGAGAGUGGAAGAACAUGAGCAACUUACCAGUGACUACACCACUGAAGAAACAUCCUUCCUUCCCGCAGCAGGCACAAACUCAGGGGCUUCCUGGGUCCCGCCCCACUCAGUGAUGAAAUGCUGGCCAAGCCAAACUUAUUCAGGCUUUGGGAAGAUGAACAAGCUGC